GUCCUAUGCUCAGAAGGCCCCAUGCUUGGGGCUUCAAGUUCUGCAGUUGCCACCCUGAAGUUCUUAAUCAUUUCUCUUUGAAUUUGUUUUCACGAGUAACAUCUGAUGGAACAAUGGAGCACUCCCCAGGGGCGUGGAGCCUCAGCCCUCAUGUGUUACUGCCUCCUGCUGCCUCCCUGGGAUGGUUUCUCAGCUGCUCGCUCCCCAAACGCUGGCACCCCAGAACCCAUGACCUCGUCUACCCUCUGUCUGGGAGGAAAUGGGUUGAGUCAGCCAGGAAGACACACCUCCCACUGCUCCACAUAAAGGGCUCAAUGUCUGGUUCAGUGGUUAAAAGCUGUUCACAGGGAUGACUGGACCCCACUAAGCAUUCUUUCAUCUGUAGUGAACGUUUCACCAAAAAAAAGCUCUUGGAAAGGCUGGAUGGUCAGUAUUACAUGCUCAAGCCAUGGCCGUGCCCUCCAUCUUCCACCUGAUUGAGAAGGGGGGGCUGAAGUCCGUGGCUGCCCCAGGAGAAAGGACACCAGGAAGGCCACCGGGGACCUAAGGAACAUGCGAGUGAAGCAGAUGGGAAAGGAGCUGCAGGUUCAUCGUUGUCCUUGAGGGAAAACCUGAGGGCCUAGCAGGGCUCCCGCAAGUUGAAGCGAGCCACUGUGCAGGGUGAACCUGCACCCAGGGCUACCCAGGAAGCCGCCAGUCAGGAGCAGGUGCAGAGUCUCUGGAAGGAACUCCAGGAUACAGUGUGGCCUCCACAGCAUCAGGCAGCCAGGGAGAUGCAAACGUGUCUGCUAUGGAUGCUGACAAUGAGACCCCCCUCUUCCCUGCCAGGGUCUCUUAGUUUGGUGGCAGCAGUGGGAUCCAAAGGAGACAUCUGAUGGCUUAGGGGAUGAGAAACACAGGCAUUGGUACCUGCAAAACCUUUGAGUUCUCCAUCUUUGUCACUGAUUCUGAGAGCCGUGGAGUCAGCUCCAGAGUUUCAGCCAGCAGCAGAAGCAGAGCUGUGGUCAGUGGUGGAGGUAGAGCUGGCUCUAGCUCCAUUGACACCACACCCUCUAGCACUGGAGCCAGUGUCCCCUCUACCAGCAGUGUUGGAGGUGGAGCAAGGGCCAACAUGGGCUCCAGCAGGAGUGGGAGCUGCUGAGUUGGAGUCACCUGGACCAUCAUUUCUAGUGGGAAGUCCAUCUCCACCUGUGGCUAAGAAGUGUGAGAAGAAACCCAACCUACGGCCUUCCCUCCUAAGCUGGUGGUGGAGCAGUUGAUCGUGAUGGAUGCAGGAGACAGACAAGGCCCGUGGUUGUAGCUGCCAAGGGAGAAUGUGCAUCAGAAUGGGGAGUGUGACCAGAGGGGGAUCAGUGUGUUGGAAGAUGCCCCCUUGGGAUGAGCCGAGGUGAGCCACCAUCUGGAGCUUGGAGUUAGCCAGGACGGGCUGGAUGCAAAUGUCCCUCUCCCUUCCCUGCCAGUAUUGGGUCCUGGGUCAUCCUCUGGGUACCCUCAGUGGACAGAGAAGAAAAGCCAGGGACUCUCACAAGGCUCAGGCCACAUCAUGAGCUUCCUGAGCUCCAGCUCUAAACUGUGACCCCUGUGUGGGACUUUUGUGGAUGUGGACACAGAGCUGGGGUGU